GGAUAUAGCUCAAGUGGUAGAGUGUGUGCUUAGCAUGCACGAGAUCCUGGAUUCAAUCCCCAGUACCUCCA
rnacentral:tRNA from 1 species